rnacentral:rRNA from 1 species
GCAUGGCACAGGGGUCAAAGGAUUUAUCCGCUGAAAGAUGGGCUCGCGUCCGAUUAGCUAGAUGGUGAGGUAACGGCCCACCAUGGCGACGAUCGGUAGCCGGACUGAGAGGUUGAACGGCCACAUUGGGACUGAGACACGGCCCAGACUCCUACGGGAGGCAGCAGUGGGGAAUAUUGCACAAUGGGGGAAACCCUGAUGCAGCGACGCCGCGUGGAGGAAGAAGGUCUUCGGAUUGUAAACUCCUGUCCCAGGGGACGAUAAUGACGGUACCCUGGGAGGAAGCACCGGCUAACUACGUGCCAGCAGCCGCGGUAAAACGUAGGGUGCAAGCGUUGUCCGGAAUUACUGGGUGUAAAGGGAGCGCAGGCGGAUUGGCAAGUUGGGAGUGAAAUCUAUGGGCUCAACCCAUAAAUUGCUUUCAAAACUGUCAGUCUUGAGUGGUGUAGAGGUAGGCGGAAUUCCCGGUGUAGCGGUGGAAUGCGUAGAUAUCGGGAGGAACACCAGUGGCGAAGGCGGCCUACUGGGCACUAACUGACGCUGAGGCUCGAAAGCAUGGGUAGCAAACAGGAUUAGAUACCCUGGUAGUCCAUGCCGUAAACGAUGAUUACUAGGUGUGGGAGGAUUGACCCCUUCCGUGCCG